UGGGGAAUAUUGCACAAUGGGCGAAAGCCUGAUGCAGCGACGCCGCGUGAGGGAUGACGGCCUUCGGGUUGUAAACCUCUUUCAGCAGGGACGAAGCGCAAGUGACGGUACCUGCAGAAGAAGCGCCGGCUAACUACGUGCCAGCAGCCGCGGUAAUACGUAGGGUGCAAGCGUUGUCCGGAAUUACUGGGCGUAAAGAGUUCGUAGGCGGUUUGUCGCGUCGUUUGUGAAAACCAGCAGCUCAACUGCUGGCUUGCAGGCGAUACGGGCAGACUUGAGUACUGCAGGGGAGACUGGAAUUCCUGGUGUAGCGGUGAAAUGCGCAGAUAUCAGGAGGAACACCGGUGGCGAAGGCGGGUCUCUGGGCAGUAACUGACGCUGAGGAACGAAAGCGUGGGUAGCGAACAGG
rnacentral:rRNA from 1 species